rnacentral:rRNA from 1 species
UACGGAGGGUGCAAGCGUUAUCCGGAUUCACUGGGUUUAAAGGGUGCGUAGGCGGACAAGUAAGUCAGUGGUGAAAUCUCUGGGCUUAACUCAGAAACUGCCGUUGAUACUAUUUGUCUUGAAUAUCUUGGAGGUAAGCGGAAUAUGUCAUGUAGCGGUGAAAUGCUUAGAUAUGACAUAGAACACCAAUUGCGAAGGCAGCUGGCUACAGGGAUAUUGACACUGAGGCACGAAAGCGUGGGGAUCAAACAGG